rnacentral:tRNA from 1 species
GCCUGGGUGGCGAAAUCGGUAGACGCGCCAGACUCAAAAUCUGGUUUGGGCAACCAAGUGAGAGUUCGAGUCUCUCCCCAGGCACCA